rnacentral:rRNA from 1 species
AUGCUGGAGGUAUCAGAAGUGCGAAUGCUGACAUAAGUAACGAUAAAGCGGGUGAAAAGCCCGCUCGCCGGAAGACCAAGGGUUCCUGUCCAACGUUAAUCGGGGCAGGGUGAGUCGACCCCUAAGGCGAGGCCGAAAGGCGUAGUCGAUGGGAAACAGGUUAAUAUUCCUGUACUUGGUGUUACUGCGAAGGGGGGACGGAGAAGGCUAUGUUGGCCGGGCGACGGUUGUCCCGGUUUAAGCGUGUAGGCUGGUUUUCCAGGCAAAUCCGGAAAAUCAAGGCUGAGGCGUGAUGACGAGGCACUACGGUGCUGAAGCAACAAAUGCCCUGCUUCCAGGAAAAGCCUCUAAGCAUCAGGUAACAUCAAAUCGUACCCCAAACCGACACAGGUGGUCAGGUAGAGAAUACCAAGGCGCUUGAGAGAACUCGGGUGAAGGAACUAGGCAAAAUGGUGCCGUAACUUCGGGAGAAGGCACGCUGAUAUGUAGGUGAAGUCCCUCGCGGAUGGAGCUGAAAUCAGUCGAAGAUACCAGCUGGCUGCAACUGUUUAUUAAAAACACAGCACUGUGCAAACACGAAAGUGGACGUAUACGGUGUGACGCCUGCCCGGUGCCGGAAGGUUAAUUGAUGGGGUUAGCGCAAGCGAAGCUCUUGAUCGAAGCCCCGGUAAACGGCGGCCGUAACUAUAACGGUCCUAAGGUAGCGAAAUUCCUUGUCGGGUAAGUUCCGACCUGCACGAAUGGCGUAAUGAUGGCCAGGCUGUCUCCACCCGAGACUCAGUGAAAUUGAACUCGCUGUGAAGAUGCAGUGUACCCGCGGCAAGACGGAAAGACCCCGUGAACCUUUACUAUAGCUUGACACUGAACAUUGAGCCUUGAUGUGUAGGAUAGGUGGGAGGCUUUGAAGUGUGGACGCCAGUCUGCAUGGAGCCGACCUUGAAAUACCACCCUUUAAUGUUUGAUGUUCUAACGUUGACCCGUGAUCCGGGUUGCGGACAGUGUCUGGUGGGUAGUUUGACUGGGGCGGUCUCCUCCUAAAGAGUAACGGAGGAGCACGAAGGUUGGCUAAUCCUGGUCGGACAUCAGGAGGUUAGUGCAAUGGCAUAAGCCAGCUUGACUGCGAGCGUGACGGCGCGAGCAGGUGCGAAAGCAGGUCAUAGUGAUCCGGUGGUUCUGAAUGGAAGGGCCAUCGCUCAACGGAUAAAAGGUACUCCGGGGAUAACAGGCUGAUACCGCCCAAGAGUUCAUAUCGACGGCGGUGUUUGGCACCUCGAUGUCGGCUCAUCACAUCCUGGGGCUGAAGUAGGUCCCAAGGGUAUGGCUGUUCGCCAUUUAAAGUGGUACGCGAGCUGGGUUUAGAACGUCGUGAGACAGUUCGGUCCCUAUCUGCCGUGGGCGCUGGAGAACUGAGGGGGGCUGCUCCUAGUACGAGAGGACCGGAGUGGACGCAUCACUGGUGUUCGGGUUGUCAUGCCAAUGGCACUGCCCGGUAGCUAAAUGCGGAAGAGAUAAGUGCUGAAAGCAUCUAAGCACGAAACUUGCCCCGAGAUGAGUUCUCCCUGACUCCUUGAGAGUCCUGAAGGAACGUUGAAGACGACGACGUUGAUAGGCCGGGUGUGUAAGCGCAGCGAUGCGUUGAGCUAACCGGUACUAAUGAACCGUGAGGCUUAACCUU